AUCAGUGUGGCAUAAUGGUUUGAGCAUUGGACUACAACUCUGGAGACCAGGGUUUGAUUCCCAGCUUGGCCA
rnacentral:tRNA from 1 species